rnacentral:piRNA from 1 species
AGCCUCUAUAGAUGUCAAAAUAAAAA